GGACGGUUGGCAGAAUGGAGUGGCAAUACUGGUUAGGAUGGCGUGCGGAUCUGACUAUAAAGAGAAACCGGUAUCAUGGAGGUUCGACCCCUCUACCGUCCA
rnacentral:tRNA from 1 species